GUGGAUUAGAUACCCUGGUAGUCCACGCCGUAAACGAUGGAUACUAGGUGUAGGAGGUAUCGACCCCUUCUGUGCCGGAGUUAACACAAUAAGUAUCCCACCUGGGGAGUACGACCGCAAGGUUGAAACUCAAAGGAAUUGACGGGGGCCCGCACAAGCAGUGGAGUAUGUGGUUUAAUUCGAAGCAACGCGAAGAACCUUACCAGGACUUGACAUCUCCUGCAUAAUCGUAAAAGGGUAAAUCCUUCGGGACAGGAUGACAGGUGGUGCACGGUUGUCGACAGCU
rnacentral:rRNA from 1 species